rnacentral:rRNA from 1 species
UGCAAGUCGAACGAUGAACCAGGAGCUUGCUCUUGGGGAUUAGUGGCGAACGGGUGAGUAACACGUGAGUAACCUGCCCUUGACUCUGGGAUAACCUCCGGAAACGGAAGCUAAUACCGGAUACGAACUGCGAAGGCAUCUUCAGCAGUUGGAAAGAACUUCGGUCAAGGAUGGACUCGCGGCCUAUCAGGUAGUUGGUGAGGUAAAGGCUCACCAAGCCUACGACGGGUAGCCGGCCUGAGAGGGUGACCGGCCACACUGGGACUGAGACACGGCCCAGACUCCUACGGGAGGCAGCAGUGGGGAAUAUUGCACAAUGGGCGCAAGCCUGAUGCAGCAACGCCGCGUGAGGGAUGACGGCCUUCGGGUUGUAAACCUCUUUUAGUAGGGAAGAAGCGAAAGUGACGGUACCUGCAGAAAAAGCACCGGCUAACUACGUGCCAGCAGCCGCGGUAAUACGUAGGGUGCGAGCGUUGUCCGGAAUUAUUGGGCGUAAAGAGCUCGUAGGCGGUCUGUCGCGUCUGCUGUGAAAACCCGAGGCUCAACCUCGGGCCUGCAGUGGGUACGGGCAGACUAGAGUGCGGUAGGGGAGAAUGGAAUUCCUGG